GAGGGUAUAGCUCAGUGGUAGAGUGCAUGCCUAGCAUGCAUGAGAUCCUGGGUUCAAUUCCCAAACACCUCU
rnacentral:tRNA from 1 species